GUUCUUGUGGCCUAGUGGUUAGGGCGUCUGUCUUACAACUUGAUAAUAUCUAGUGAGAGCACAGAAGAUCCCCGGUUCGACCCCGGGCAGGAACA